UCCUAUGAUGGCAUGGAAUCUUUGAGACCUGAUUUUAAAAUUUGAUGACAGCUAUAAGCAUAUUUGCUGAGGAU